CUCGGGGUUCUACCGUUGGUCGGGCAAUUGUCUGUACUGGCGUGUAGAAUUUCUACCUUCUGGGGAACCAUCAUGUUAUUAAUUUAGCGUGGUGGGAAACCAGGACCUUUACCUUGAAAAAAUUAGAGUGUUCAAAGCAGGCUUACGUCUGAAUACAUUAGCAUGGAAUAAUAAAAUAGGACGGUGGUCCUGUUUUGUUGGUUUCUGAAUCACCGUAAUGAUUAAUAGGGAUAGUUGGGGGCAUUAGUAUUCAAUUGUCAGAGGUGAAAUUCUUGGAUUUAUUGAAGACUAACUUCUGCGAAAGCAUUUGCCAAGGAUGUUUUCAUUAAUCAAGAACGAAAGUUAGGGGAUCGAAGACGAUCAGAUACCGUCGUAGUCUUAACCAUAAACUAUGCCGACUAGGGAUCGGACGAUGUUAAUUUUUCUUGAC
rnacentral:rRNA from 1 species